rnacentral:rRNA from 1 species
AGAGUUUGAUUCUGGCUCAGGAUGAACGCUGGCGGUGAGCUUAACACAUGCAAGUCGAACGCAGCUCCCUCGGGAGCUGAGUGGCGGACGGGUGAGUAACACGUGAGAAUCUACCUUCAGGACGGAGAUAACCGCUGGAAACGGCGGCUAAUCCCCGAUGAGCCUACGGGUGAAAGCGUUAACGCCUGAAGAGGAGCUCGCGGCUGAUUAGCUAGUUGGUGGGGUAAGAGCCUACCAAGGCAACGAUCAGUAGCUGGUCUGAGAGGAUGGUCAGCCACACUGGGACUGAGACACGGCCCAGACUCCUACGGGAGGCAGCAGUGGGGAAUCUUCCGCAAUGGGCGCAAGCCUGACGGAGCUAUACCGCGUGAGGGAAGAAGGCUCUUGGGUCGCAAACCUCUUUUCUUGGGGAAGAAAGCUGACGGUACCCAAGGAAAAAGCCUCGGCCAACUCCGUGCCAGCAGCCGCGGUAAUACGGAGGGUGCAAGCGUUGUCCGGAAUUACUGGGUGUAAAGGGUGCGCAGGCGGAGCAGUAAGUCAGAGGUGAAAGCCCACGGCUCAACCGUGGAAGCGCCUUUGAUACUGCUGUUCUUGAGUCCCGGAGAGGCCAUUGGAAUUCGUGGUGUAGCGGUGAAAUGCGUAGAUAUCACGAGGAACACCAGAAGCGCAAGCGGAUGGCUGGACGGUGACUGACGCUCAGGCACGAAAGCGUGGGGAGCAAACAGGAUUAGAUACCCUGGUAGUCCACGCCGUAAACGAUGGAUGCUAGACGUUGCCUCCUUCUCGAGGGGCAGCGUCCAAGCUAACGCGUUAAGCAUCCCACCUGGGGAGUACGUUCGCAAGGAUGAAACUCAAAUGAAUUGACGGGG